GCUCUUGGGUUGUAAACCUCAAAACUUAGGGAAGAAAAAAAUGACGGUACCUAAUGUAAGCAUCGGCUAACUCCGUGCCAGCAGCCGCGGUAAUACGGAGGAUGCAAGCGUUAUCCGGAAUCAUUGGGCGUAAAGAGUCCGUAGGUGGCACUUCAAGUCUGCUUUCAAAGACCGAAGCUCAACUUCGGAAAGGGAGUGGAAACUGAAGAGCUAGAGUAUAGUAGGGGUAGAGGGAAUUCCUAGUGUAGCGGUGAAAUGCGUAGAGAUUAGGAAGAACACCAGUGGCGAAGGCGCUCUACUGGGCAUAUACUGACACUGAGGGACGAAAGCUAGGGGAGCGAAUGGGAUUA
rnacentral:rRNA from 1 species